rnacentral:lncRNA from 1 species
UUUACAGUAUGGAUCGAUCUAGUAGGGUUCCUCUUGGGUUCUCGUGUGAAUCCUGAUUGGAAUAUCACCGUCGCAUCUCUUCUAUCUCCUCGCAGGAGGGAGAUUGAUACAUGUCUUCUGAAGCUUGCUUUCCAAGCUAGCAUCCAUAGUAUUUGGCGUGAGAGGAACAGCAGGCGCCAUCAAGGUAAUCCCCUCAGUGCAGAUCAAAUGGUUCGGUACAUUGACAAGACAAUUAGGAACAGGAUAUCCUCACUGCGAAAGCGGAAGCCAAACUUCUAUGGUGACAUGAUGCAGCGUUGGCUCAGUCGGGCUUCUUCGCCGC